AUCAGACAUUGUGUUGCGAUUCAUAUAGCAAACGGAAAAAUAAAACAGUUUGAAGUAGUUAAUUUGUGUGCAAACACUUCAUGAUGGAAAAAAAACCCUACCUUGUUUUCUUUAUGAAUGCUGUCUUUACAGGUUUAAUAAAAGGUGAUUCCAUAACUAACAUUCAAAAAGAAGUCUCUCGUACAGAAGGUAGUGCUGUGACACUCCAGUGCAGCUACUCAACAGCUAACAGCUUUGCUGAUCUCUAUUGGUACCGAAAAUAUCCAAACAAGGCCAUGCAAUACAUUCUGUACAAAGGUGCCCGGUCAAAUAGUGGAUAUAGCAAUACUGCACGUUUUGCUCAGGAACGUUUUUCUUCAAUAGCAGAACAAGAAUUUACUUCACUUACAAUUUCUACUCUAGCUCUGAGUGACUCUGCUAUCUACUACUGUGCUUUGAGAACCACAUCACUUCAGUCUGCUUAG